UACGUAGGUGGCAAGCGUUAUCCGGAAUUAUUGGGCGUAAAGCGCGCGCAGGCGGUUUCUUAAGCCUGAUGUGAAAGCCCACGGCUCAACCGUGGAGGGUCAUUGGAAACUGGGGAACUUGAGUGCAGAAGAGAAAAGCGGAAUUCCACGUGUAGCGGUGAAAUGCGUAGAGAUGUGGAGGAACACCAGUGGCGAAGGCGGCUUUUUGGUCUGUAACUGACGCUGAGGCGCGAAAGCGUGGGGAGCGAACAGG
rnacentral:rRNA from 1 species